GAAAUAUUAUAAAGGAACUUGUUUGUUAAUCGACACUACUCGAUAACUUUUACCUUCUACUAUAGCUUAUAUACCGCCGUAUAAAUAAAUUCUAAAUACUUAACCUUAAAUUCUUUUUAAAAAUUCAGGUCAAGGUAUAGCCAAUUAUAAGGUUAAAAUUAGUUACUAUAAACAAUAUUUAUAGAAAAUGUAUAAAUUAAUAUAAAACAGGAUUUACUUUCAAUAUAUAAAUAAUAAUUAUAUAUGAAUUAACAUUAUC
rnacentral:rRNA from 1 species